rnacentral:rRNA from 1 species
AACGAACGCUGGCGGCAGGCUUAACACAUGCAAGUCGAGCGCCCCGCCAGGGGAGCGGCAGACGGGUGAGUAACGCGUGGGAACGUACCUUUUGGUUCGGAACAACUCCGGGAAACUGGAGCUAAUACCGGAUAAGCCCUAACGGGGAAAGAUUAUCGCCGAAAGAUCGGCCCGCGUCUGAUUAGCUAGUUGGUGAGGUAACGGCUCACCAAGGCGACGAUCAGUAGCUGGUCUGAGAGGAUGAUCAGCCACACUGGGACUGAGACACGGCCCAGACUCCUACGGGAGGCAGCAGUGGGGAAUAUUGGACAAUGGGCGCAAGCCUGAUCCAGCCAUGCCGCGUGAGUGAUGAAGGCCUUAGGGUUGUAAAGCUCUUUUGUCCGGGAAGAUAAUGACUGUACCGGAAGAAUAAGCCCCGGCUAACUUCGUG